GACGAACGCUGGCGGCGUGCCUAAUACAUGCAAGUCGAGCGAAGUUUUUCUGGUGCUUGCACCGGAAAAACUUAGCGGCGAACGGGUGAGUAACACGUAAAGAACCUGCCUCAUAGACUGGGACAACUAUUGGAAACGAUAGCUAAUACCGGAUAACAGCAUUAACUGCAUGGUUGAUGUUUAAAAGUUGGUUUUGCUAACACUAUGAGAUGGCUUUGCGGUGCAUUAGCUAGUUGGUGGGGUAAAGGCCUACCAAGGCGACGAUGCAUAGCCGACCUGAGAGGGUGAUCGGCCACACUGGGACUGAGACACGGCCCAGACUCCUACGGGAGGCAGCAGUAGGGAAUCUUCCGCAAUGGGCGAAAGCCUGACGGAGCAACGCCGCGUGAGUGAAGAAGGAUUUCGGUUCGUAAAGCUCUGUUGUUAGGGAAGAAUGAUUGUGCAGUAACUAUACACAGUAGAGACGGUACCUAACCAGAAAGCCACGGCUAACUACGUG
rnacentral:rRNA from 1 species